UCCUUUAUCCUGGGCAAGGAUGGAGUAGGAGGCCUCAGGUUCAUGCCUUCAGAUUUCCUUAAAACAACGCACUCUUCUGCAUUCCAGAGAGAGGCCUGUAUCUACAGGAAUUGCUAUCCUUUUCUGGACUCAUUAUGAGCUCAGAGACAGAGAUGGAGAGAGGCUGGAUCAAAUGGAGAAGCCAAGGCUCUGGGCAUCCCUUUUUGGAGCAUGCUCCAAACACCCCUCACGUGGUUCCAGACACAGGAAAAUGUGUAAUGAGAGAAGAGUGAGCCUUCCAAAUCCGAGGAUGAGAAACCUAUUGACAGAGAGUAAACCUUUUUGGUCUCACUGCUUAAGAGAGAGAAGGAGACAACGAUCUGUAUUGCCAUCUACAAAAUCUGCAGGGAGAGUGGAGAAGGAAGCUGAAUGUGGAGAAAAAACCUGCAAGGCUUGUGGAGAAACAGAAAGUGAAUUGACAAAGAAAUGGCCGUAA
rnacentral:lncRNA from 1 species